rnacentral:rRNA from 1 species
CACGUAGGGUGCGAGCGUUGUCCGGAAUUAUUGGGCGUAAAGAGCUCGUAGGCGGUGUGUCGCGUCGGCCGUGAAAACCUGCAGCUUAACUGUGGGCGUGCGGUCGAUACGGGCAUCACUGGAGUUCGGCAGGGGAGACUGGAAUUCCUGGUGUAGCGGUGAAAUGCGCAGAUAUCAGGAGGAACACCGGUGGCGAAGGCGGGUCUCUGGGCCGAUACUGACGCUGAGACACGAAAGCCAGGGGAGCGAACGGG